GACGUAAACCYGUGUGUUUGUAUCUGCUGCUACGUCUGUUCUCUCCCUCAGUCCCCGUGUUGAUAUGACUGCUGCUGGCCCUUGCUGUCUGUGUGCCCCACUCAUUCCCUGCCUGAACUGGAGAGCUCACUUCAGGUCAAAAAUGCUGAAGAUCRGAAACAUCCCAGGAUACUACUUCAGCCGAGUCUACAUCAUUGGACUAUUUUUACCUCCUCACUAAAGAUGGUCAGAAAUGAAGCAAAAUACAAGUAUGAGGAGAAGUUCUAAAGAUGAGAAGCAUAUAUGGCAGGUAUGCACCGGUACUACCUCC
rnacentral:lncRNA from 1 species